UACGUAGGGCGCAAGCGUUGUCCGGAAUUAUUGGGCGUAAAGAGCUCGUAGGCGGCCAGUUGCGUCUGCUGUGAAAUCCCGGGGCUCAACCCCGGGCGUGCAGUGGAUACGGGCUGGCUAGAGGCAGGCAGGGGAGAACGGAAUUCCCGGUGUAGCGGUGAAAUGCGCAGAUAUCGGGAGGAACACCGGUGGCGAAGGCGGUUCUCUGGGCCUGUACUGACGCUGAGGAGCGAAAGCGUGGGGAGCGAACAGGG
rnacentral:rRNA from 1 species